rnacentral:tRNA from 1 species
GGUUGUGGCUCAGUGGUAGAGCAAUUGCUUGGCACAUGUAAGGCACUGGGUUCAAUUCUCAGCACCA